rnacentral:rRNA from 1 species
AAAUUGAGAGUUUGAUCCUGGCUCAGGAUGAACGCUGGCGGCGUGCCUAAUACAUGCAAGUCGAACGCUUUGUGGUUCAACUGAUUUGAAGAGCUUGCUCAGAUAUGACGAUGGACAUUGCAAAGAGUGGCGAACGGGUGAGUAACACGUGGGAAACCUACCUCUUAGCAGGGGAUAACAUUUGGAAACAGAUGCUAAUACCGUAUAACAAUGACAACCGCAUGGUUGUUAUUUAAAAGAUGGUUCUGCUAUCACUAAGAGAUGGUCCCGCGGUGCAUUAGCUAGUUGGUAAGGUAAUGGCUUACCAAGGCGAUGAUGCAUAGCCGAGUUGAGAGACUGAUCGGCCACAAUGGGACUGAGACACGGCCCAUACUCCUACGGGAGGCAGCAGUAGGGAAUCUUCCACAAUGGGCGAAAGCCUGAUGGAGCAACGCCGCGUGUGUGAUGAAGGGUUUCGGCUCGUAAAACACUGUUGUAAGAGAAGAAUGACAUUGAGAGUAACUGUUCAAUGUGUGACGGUAUCUUACCAGAAAGGAACGGCUAAAUACGUGCCAGCAGCCGCGGUAAUACGUAUGUUCCAAGCGUUAUCCGGAUUUAUUGGGCGUAAAGCGAGCGCAGACGGUUAUUUAAGUCUGAAGUGAAAGCCCUCAGCUCAACUGAGGAAUUGCUUUGGAAACUGGAUGACUUGAGUGCAGUAGAGGAAAGUGGAACUCCAUGUGUAGCGGUGAAAUGCGUAGAUAUAUGGAAGAACACCAGUGGCGAAGGCGGCUUUCUGGACUGUAACUGACGUUGAGGCUCGAAAGUGUGGGUAGCAAACAGGAUUAGAUACCCUGGUAGUCCACACCGUAAACGAUGAGUGCUAGGUGUUUGAGGGUUUCCGCCCUUAAGUGCCGCAGCUAACGCAUUAAGCACUCCGCCUGGGGAGUACGACCGCAAGGUUGAAACUCAAAGGAAUUGACGGGGACCCGCACAAGCGGUGGAGCAUGUGGUUUAAUUCGAAGCAACGCGAAGAACCUUACCAGGUCUUGACAUCCCUUGACAACUCCAGAGAUGGAGCGUUCCCUUCGGGGACAAGGUGACAGGUGGUGCAUGGUUGUCGUCAGCUCGUGUCGUGAGAUGUUGGGUUAAGUCCCGCAACGAGCGCAACCCUUAUUACUAGUUGCCAGCAUUCAGUUGGGCACUCUAGUGAGACUGCCGGUGACAAACCGGAGGAAGGUGGGGAUGACGUCAAAUCAUCAUGCCCCUUAUGACCUGGGCUACACACGUGCUACAAUGGCGUAUACAACGAGUUGCCAACCCGCGAGGGUGAGCUAAUCUCUUAAAGUACGUCUCAGUUCGGAUUGUAGGCUGCAACUCGCCUACAUGAAGUCGGAAUCGCUAGUAAUCGCGGAUCAGCACGCCGCGGUGAAUACGUUCCCGGGUCUUGUACACACCGCCCGUCACACCAUGAGAGUUUGUAACACCCAAAGUCGGUGGGGUAACCUUCGGGAGCCAGCCGUCUAAGGUGGGACAGAUGAUUAGGGUGAAGUCGUAACAAGGUAGCCGUAGGAGAACCUGCGGCUGGAUCACCUCCUUUCUAAGGAA